rnacentral:rRNA from 1 species
UACGUAGGGCGCAAGCGUUUGUCCGGAAUUAUUGGGCGUAAAGAGCUCGUAGGCGGCUUGUCACGUCGGGUGUGAAAGCCCGGGGCUUAACCCCGGGUCUGCAUUCGAUACGGGCAGGCUAGAGUGUGGUAGGGGAGAUCGGAAUUCCUGGUGUAGCGGUGAAAUGCGCAGAUAUCAGGAGGAACACCGGUGGCGAAGGCGGGUUUCUGGGCCGAUACUGACGCUGGAGGAGACGAAAGCGGUGGGGAGCGAACAGG